rnacentral:rRNA from 1 species
UUCGGAUGCUGACGAGUGGCGAACGGGUGAGUAAUACAUCGGAACGUGCCUAGUAGUGGGGGAUAACUACUCGAAAGAGUGGCUAAUACCGCAUGAGAUCUACGGAUGAAAGCAGGGGAUCGCAAGACCUUGUGCUACUAGAGCGGCUGAUGGCAGAUUAGGUAGUUGGUGGGAUAAAAGCUUACCAAGCCGACGAUCUGUAGCUGGUCUGAGAGGACGAUCAGCCACACUGGGACUGAGACACGGCCCAGACUCCUACGGGAGGCAGCAGUGGGGAAUUUUGGACAAUGGGCGAAAGCCUGAUCCAGCAAUGCCGCGUGCAGGAUGAAGGCCUUCGGGUUGUAAACUGCUUUUGUACGGAACGAAAAGCUUCGGGUUAAUACCCUGGAGCCAUGACGGUACCGUAAGAAUAAGCACCGGCUAACUACGUGCCAGCAGCCGCGGUAAUACGUAGGGUGCAAGCGUUAAUCGGAAUUACUGGGCGUAAAGCGUGCGCAGGCGGUUUUGUAAGACAGAGGUGAAAUCCCCGGGCUCAACCUGGGAACUGCCUUUGUGACUGCAAGGCUGGAGUACGGCAGAGGGGGAUGGAAUUCCGCGUGUAGCAGUGAAAUGCGUAUAUAUGCGGAGGAACACCGAUGGCGAAGGCAAUCCCCUGGGCCUGUACUGACGCUCAUGCA